rnacentral:rRNA from 1 species
UGGGGAAUAUUGGGCAAUGGGCGAAAGCCUGACCCAGCAACGCCGCGUGAGGGAAGAAGGUUUUCGGAUUGUAAACCUCUGUCCUCAAGGAAGAAGCAAGUGACGGUACUUGAGGAGGAAGCCCCGGCUAACUACGUGCCAGCAGCCGCGGUAAUACGUAGGGGGCGAGCGUUGUCCGGAAUGACUGGGCGUAAAGGGCGCGUAGGCGGCCGUACAAGUCUCACGUGAAAGUCCUGCUUUCAAGGUGGGAAUUGCGUGGGAAACUGUAUGGCUUGAGUGCGGAAGAGGUAAGUGGAAUUCCCAGUGUAGCGGUGAAAUGCGUAGAGAUUGGGAGGAACACCAGUGGCGAAGGCGACUUACUGGGCCGUAACUGACGCUGAUGCGCGAAAGCGUGGGGAGCGAACAGG